UACGGAGGGUGCAAGCGUUAAUCGGAAUUACUGGGCGUAAAGGGUGCGUAGGCGGUUCGUUAAGUCUGUUGUGAAAUCCCCGGGCUCAACCUGGGAAUGGCAAUGGAUACUGGCGGGCUAGAGUGUGUCAGAGGAUGGUGGAAUUCCCGGUGUAGCGGUGAAAUGCGUAGAGAUCCGGAAGAACACCGGUGGCGAAGGCGGCCCGCUGGGCAGAGACUGACGCUGAGGCGCGACAGCGUGGGGAGCAAACAGG
rnacentral:rRNA from 1 species